rnacentral:misc_RNA from 1 species
GAUGAAGAACGCAGCGAAAUGCGAUACGUAAUGUGAAUUGCAGAAUUCAGUGAAUCAUCGAAUCUUUGAACGCAUAUUGCGCUCUCUGGUAUUCCGGAGAGCAUGCUUGUUUGAGUAUCAGUAAACACCUCAACUUCCAUAUCUUUUUUGAAAUGGGAGUUGGACUUGAGUGAUCCCAACGCUUUUCCUCACCGAAAAGUGGCGGGUUACUUGAAAUGCAGGUGCAGCUUGACUUUUCUCUGAGCUAUAAGCAUAUCUAUUUAGUCUGCCUAAAAAACAGAUUAUUACCUUUGCUGCAGCUAACAUAAAGGAGAUUAGUUCUUGUGCUGACUGAUGCAGGAUUCACAAAGACAGGCUUCGGCCGACUUUGUAAACUCGAUCUCAAAUCAAGUAAGACUACCCGCUGAACUUAAGCAUAUCAAUAAGCGGAGGA